GUGGGGAAUAUUGCACAAUGGGCGCAAGCCUGAUGCAGCAACGCCGCGUGAGGGACGACGGCCUUCGGGUUGUAAACCUCUUUUAGCAGGGAAGAAGCGAAAGUGACGGUACCUGCAGAAAAAGCACCGGCUAACUACGUGCCAGCAGCCGCGGUAAUACGUAGGGUGCAAGCGUUGUCCGGAAUUAUUGGGCGUAAAGAGCUCGUAGGCGGUUUGUCGCGUCUGCUGUGAAAACCCGAGGCUCAACCUCGGGCCUGCAGUGGGUACGGGCAGACUAGAGUGCGGUAGGGGAGAUUGGAAUUCCUGGUGUAGCGGUGGAAUGCGCAGAUAUCAGGAGGAACACCGAUGGCGAAGGCAGAUCUCUGGGCCGUAACUGACGCUGAGGAGCGAAAGCGUGGGGAGCGAACAGGAUUAGAAACCCUUGUAGUCC
rnacentral:rRNA from 1 species